rnacentral:lncRNA from 1 species
GGAAUCGCACAGGGGUGCGUACAAAUGGACCAGGACGCGGAGAGCACGGAAACAACGGUGCUGGGACCUUGUGCACAGAAUCCAGAUGCCAGAUGGGAAUUAAACAUUCGGCCGAGAAAAGCAAUCUAGUUCCCUGGGCUCGACUUUGACUCACUCCUUGGUCUGCACCAAUCCUCACAUCCCUCAGGUCCUCUAACUUUUACGACAGUAUCCAGAAAUCGAUUCUUUGGUCUCUACGGCUCCAGAAGGCUCGCUCAUCAAGAAACGUUCCAUUACCUUCGAUUAGAAGUGGAUACAUAUAUGAUUUUGGCCUAAAAAAAAAUUUGCAAAAAGGGAGAAUGCAAACUUGUCCUUUUCCUUUUGGAUUUACGGAGUGCCAGUAUCAGGUGUGGUUCCAGGUUCCCGUUCCAGGUUCCAGAUAAGGCUGUGGUGAGGUCUCGAGCAGACAAGCACAAGUCCAAUUGCCUCUUCUUUUGAAAAGUCUAUUGAGGAGGAAUCUCUGAAAAUGACAGCUGAUGGGUGUAGAGACCCACGCCCGGAAUCUCAGCAACUGAAGUGGUUGAAGCAGGAGCAUCUGGGCAGAGCUUGUAAGCAUCUCUAGCUUCUGACUUUGUUGCUGGUGUUAUGGUUUUUGGUUUUCUUUCUCAGAGGCUUUCUGGUGCACCUAGACUGUGCCAGCUCCUUAUAGCCCUCCUUCAGCUCUCCAGCCUUUUGCCUAUGCAGUCUCUGCUCCUAGCCUUUCAUAACUAAUAAACUUUAAAAUUUAUAAACUCCAACAAA